rnacentral:rRNA from 1 species
UACACACCGCCCGUCACACUAUGGGAGUUGGUUCUACCUGAAGACGGUGCGCUAACCGCAAGGAGGCAGCCGGCCACGGUAGGGUCAGCGACUGGGGUG